AACGAACGCUGGCGGCAGGCCUAACACAUGCAAGUCGAACGCUCGUAGCAAUACGAGAGUGGCAGACGGGUGAGUAACACGUGGGAACCUUCCCUAUGGUUCGGAAUAGCUCAGGGAAACUUGGGGUAAUACCGGAUAAGCCCUUCGGGGAAGGAUUUAUCGCCAUUGGAUGGGCCCGCGUCGGAUUAGCUAGUUGGUGAGGUAACGGCUCACCAAGGCAACGAUCCGUAGCUGGUCUGAGAGGAUGAUCAGCCACACUGGGACUGAGACACGGCCCAGACUCCUACGGGAGGCAGCAGUGGGGAAUAUUGGACAAUGGGCGCAAGCCUGAUCCAGCCAUGCCGCGUGAGUGACGAAGGUCUUCGGAUUGUAAACUCUUUUGGCGGGACGAUAAUGACGGUACCCGCAGAAUAAGCCCCGGCUAACUACGUGCCAGCAGCCGCCGU
rnacentral:rRNA from 1 species